UACGUAGGGACCAAGCGUUGUUCGGAUUUACUGGGCGUAAAGGGCGCGUAGGCGGCGUGUUAAGUCACUUGUGAAAUCUCUAAGCUUAACUUAGAACGGUCAAGUGAUACUGACGUGCUAGAGUGCAGAAGGGGCAACCGGAAUUCUAGGUGUAGCGGUGAAAUGCGUAGAGAUCUGGAGGAACACCCGUGGCGAAGGCGGCUCCCUGGUCCGGUUCUGACGCUGAGACGCGAAAGCGCGGGGAGCGAACGGG
rnacentral:rRNA from 1 species